UGUAUUUGCCGAGAAUACCCCUUUUCUGUUUCGGAAGACUUCUGCGUCGUCUCCACCGGGGCUUUCAAUGGGUAUAUGAGUACAAUCUAUGCAUCCAGUAACCCCGGGGAAUUCCUCCAAUGGCAUAGAACCUAGUCAUGACUGA
rnacentral:lncRNA from 1 species